CAAUAGCGUAUAUUAAAGUUGUUGCAGUUAAAAAGCUCGUAGUUGGAUUUCUGGUGGGAGCGAUCGGUCUGGCGCUUAGCGCGAGUACUUGCAUCGUCUCCGGCCAUCCUUGGGGAGUGUCUGUCUGGCAUUAGGUUGUCGGGCAGAGGAUCCUCAUCGUUUACUGUGAAAAAAUUAGAGUGUUCAAAGCAGGCUUAUGCCGUUGAAUACAUUAGCAUGGAAUAAUAAGAUAAGACUUUGGUGGUCUAUUUUGUUGGUUUGCACGCCAAAGUAAUGAUUAAUAGGGAUAGUUGGGGGUAUUCGUAUUCUAUUGCUAGAGGUGAAAUUCUUAAAUUUAUGGAAGACGAACUACUGCGAAAGCAUUUACCAAGGAUGUUUUCAUUAA
rnacentral:rRNA from 1 species